rnacentral:rRNA from 1 species
AUUGAACGCUGGCGGCAGGCCUAACACAUGCAAGUCGAACGAGUGGCGGACGGGCGGGUAAUGUCUGGGAAACUGCCUGACGGAGCGGUAUAACUAGGGGAAACGGUAGCAAAUACCGCCUACCAUCCGAUGUGCUCAGAGGGGAUUAGCUAGUAGGUGGGGUAAAGGCUCACCUAGGCGACGAUGCCUAGCUGGUCUGAGAGGAUGACCAGCCACACUGGAACUGAGACACGGUCCAGACUCCUACGGGAGGCAGCAGUGGGGAAUAUUGGGCAAUGGGCGCAAGCCUGAUGCAGCAAGGCCGCGUGUAUGAAGAAGGUUUUCGGGUUGUAAAAUUCUGUCGGCGGGGAAGCGUUACCUACAGAAAAAGCACCGGCUAACUCCGUGCCAGCAGCCGCGGUAAUUC